UAUAUCUUCCCGGAUUUGAUAGCUGCUGGGGUCGAGGGGGUCGCUGUGGUUCCCGUUUAUUUCCUCUGGCAGCGGUUUUCUAAUUUAAGCACCUCUGUCUCCUGGCUACAGUUGCCUGCUGUGAUGUGGAGGGGGUGUUCGCGCAUUGUCAUGCCUGCUGCCGGAAAAAGGGGGGCACGAGCAGAGUCGCCCCUGCCUUGGUGCUGCCUGCUGCUGCUCGCUCUCACCGCCGUCUUCUCAGAUGUGUUUUUUGCUCAAGGUGGUGGAGCCGGGCUCUUUUGUUGAUUUCCCCCCCCACCCCCCCCAAAAAGAAAUUAAGCGGAAAUAAUUGGUUCUGGCCAAGAGCAAACCCUCAUCCCGAUUUCAUUGGCUUGUAUCUCAGGCAACACAAGAGACAUUCUGUAAUGGCUCAAAAUAUCCCUGCUGGAUAAUAAUGAAACAACACUCUUGGAAAAUGGUUACUCCCUCUCUGGCAUGGUUGUUCCACAUCUGACACCUACCAAUGCCCCUCACAAGGGCGCUGAUGGCAGCUAAAAGUUGCAUUAAGGAAAGCAUUUCAAGCUGACUCGUUUCAAUUAGUGAACAAAAUCCCUGGAUCAUCUGACAGUGGCACAUAAAUAGUGAGUGUGUUUCUCCUUUGCUAGCAAUGUGAAGUAAGAUUACAAGGCUUUUUCCAAAACUUUCCUCCCCUCUUUUAUGCAAUGGGGUUGAUGAGUGGAGGAAGAGAGCAGGGAACUCAGUAGCAAUGCCUUGUGUCAGUCAGACCACUGCCUGAUGCAGGCGUGGGAGCCCGUUGUCUUCUUCCCUAUAAAAAUGAAGCUCUCAAUCAGUAACAUAAUA